AGAGUUUGAUCCUGGCUCAGGACGAACGCUGGCGGCGCGCCUAACACAUGCAAGUCGAGCGAUGCACCAUUCACGGAAUCUUUCGAGAUGAAGCGAAUGGGAAUUAGCGGCGGACGGGUGAGUAACACGUGAGUAACCUGCCUUUUACAAGGGGAUAGCCUCGGGAAACCGGGAUUAAUACCCUAUGACACUCCUCUUUCGCAUGAAAAGAGAAGUUAAAGCGAAUAAGCGGUAAAAGAUGGACUCGCGCCUGAUUAGCUAGUUGGUGGGGUAAGAGCCUACCAAGGCAACGAUCAGUAGCCGGCCUGAGAGGGUGAACGGCCACAUUGGAACUGAGACACGGUCCAAACUCCUACGGGAGGCAGCAGUGGGGAAUAUUGCACAAUGGAGGGAACUCUGAUGCAGCGACGCCGCGUGAGCGAAGAAGGCUUUCGAGUCGUAAAGCUCUGUCCUAUGGGAAGAUAGUGACGGUACCAUAGGAGGAAGCCCCGGCUAACUACGUGCCAGCAGCCGCGGUAAUACGUAGGGGGCGAGCGUUGUCCGGAAUUACUGGGCGUAAAGGGUUCGCAGGCGGCUAUGCAAGUCUGGUGUGAAAGACGGAGGCUCAACCUCCGCAAGCAUUGGAAACUGUAUGGCUUGAGUGAAGGAGAGGCAAGUGGAAUUCCUAGUGUAGCGGUGAAAUGCGUAGAUAUUAGGAGGAAUACCAGUGGCGAAGGCGACUUGCUGGACUUCAACUGACGCUGAGGAACGAAAGCGUGGGGAGCAAACAGGAUUAGAUACCCUGGUAGUCCACGCCGUAAACGAAGAGUGCUAGGUGUCGGGGGAGACCUCGGUGCCGCAGUUAACACAAUAAGCACUCCGCCUGGGGAGUACGUGCGCAAGCAUGAAACUCAAAGGAAUUGACGGGGACCCGCACAAGCAGCGGAGCAUGUGGUUUAAUUCGAAGCAACGCGAAGAACCUUACCAAGGCUUGACAUAUACGUGCAAAGAGUAGAGAUACUCUGUUCUCUUCGGAGACGCGUAUACAGGUGGUGCAUGGUUGUCGUCAGCUCGUGUCGUGAGAUGUUGGGUUAAGUCCCGCAACGAGCGCAACCCUUACCUUUAGUUGCCAGCGAGUCAAGUCGGGAACUCUAGAGGGACUGCCGAUGAUAAAUCGGAGGAAGGUGGGGAUGACGUCAAAUCAUCAUGCCCUAUAUGUCUUGGACUACACACGUGCUACAAUGGUCGGUACAGAGGGCAGCGAGGCCGCGAGGCCGAGCGAAUCGCCCAAAGCCGGUCCCAGUACGGAUUGGAGUCUGCAACUCGACUCCAUGAAGUUGGAAUCGCUAGUAAUCACGCAUCAGCAUGGCGUGGUGAAUUCGUUCCCGGGCCUUGUACACACCGCCCGUCA
rnacentral:rRNA from 1 species